UGGGGAAUUUUGGACAAUGGGCGCAAGCCUGAUCCAGCCAUACCGCGUGAGUGAAGAAGGCCUUCGGGUUGUAAAGCUCUUUCAGACGGAAAGAAACGGUUACGGCUAAUACCCGUGACUAAUGACGGUACCGUAAGAAGAAGCACCGGCUAACUACGUGCCAGCAGCCGCGGUAAUACGUAGGGUGCGAGCGUUAAUCGGAAUUACUGGGCGUAAAGCGUGCGCAGGCGGUUUGGUAAGACAGAUGUGAAAUCCCCGGGCUUAACCUGGGAACUGCAUUUGUGACUGCCAGACUAGAGUGUAGCAGAGGGGGGUAGAAUUCCACGUGUAGCAGUGAAAUGCGUAGAUAUGUGGAGGAAUACCGAUGGCGAAGGCAGCCCCCUGGGCCAACACUGACGCUCAUGCACGAAAGCGUGGGGAGCAAACAGGAUUAGAUACCCAUGUAGUCCCUGAGCGGGCUGGCAAGGCGCAU
rnacentral:rRNA from 1 species